rnacentral:rRNA from 1 species
UACGUAGGUGGCAAGCGUUGUCCGGAAUUAUUGGGCGUAAAGCGCGCGCAGGCGGUCCUUUAAGUCUGAUGUGAAAGCCCACGGCUCAACCGUGGAGGGUCAUUGGAAACUGGGGGACUUGAGUGCAGGAGAGAAGAGUGGAAUUCCACGUGUAGCGGUGAAAUGCGUAGAGAUGUGGAGGAACACCAGUGGCGAAGGCGACUCGUUGGCCUGUAACUGACGCUGAGGCGCGAAAGCGUGGGGAGCAAGCAGG